rnacentral:rRNA from 1 species
UCCUACGGGAGGCAGCAGUGGGGAAUCUUGGACAAUGGGCGCAAGCCUGAUCCAGCCAUGCCGCGUGAGUGAAGAAGGCCCUAGGGUCGUAAAGCUCUUUCGCCAGGGAUGAUAAUGACAGUACCGGGUAAAGAAACCCCGGCUAACUCCGUGCCAGCAGCCGCGGUAAUACGGAGGGGGUUAGCGUUGUUCGGAAUUACUGGGCGUAAAGCGCACGUAGGCGGAUUGGAAAGUUGGGGGUGAAAUCCCGGGGCUCAACCCCGGAACUGCCUCCAGAACUAUCAAUCUUGAGUUCGAGAGAGGUGAGUGGAAUUGCGAGUGUAGAGGUGAAAUUCGUAGAUAUUCGCAGGAACACCAGUGGCGAAGGCGGCUCACUGGCUCGAUACUGACGCUGAGGUGCGAAAGUGUGGGGAGCAAACAGGAUUAGAUACCCUGGUAGUCCACACCGUAAACGAUGAAUGCCAGACGUCGGGCAGCAUGCUGUUCGGUGUCACACCUAACGGAUUAAGCAUUCCGCCUGGGGAGUACGGUCGCAAGAUUAAAACUCAAAGGAAGUGACGG